UACGUAGGUGGCAAGCGUUGUCCGGAUUUACUGGGCGUAAAGCGUAUGCAGGCGGAUGUUUAAGUAAGAAGUGAAAGGUUGCGGCUCAACCGCAACACUGCUUCUUAUACUGGGCAUCUUGAGUGGCGGAGAGGGAGAUGGAACGACACGUGUAGCGGUGAAAUGCGUUUGAUAUGUGUCGGAACACCAAAUGGCGAAAAGCAAUCUCCUGGACGCAAAACUGACGCUGAGAUACGAAAAGCUAAAGGUAGCAAAACAGG
rnacentral:rRNA from 1 species